GAUGUCACUUUCUUCGAGGGCACACCAUACUAUUUUGUUGAGGGUAAAGAGUUUUCAACUAACAUUAUAGCCGAUCCUCCUAUUCCACAGCUUAUUCCCUUAGACUCGGUUAGUCCUUCCCCUGUGUCUCCCCCCUUGCGGGUGUAUCAACGGCGAAAACAGUCUACGGCACCACCAAUCUCCAGCUCUUCCAUGCCCUCCAUCCAAUCUCCCUCCUUGUCUCCCGGUCCAGACGAUCUUCCAAUUGCCCUUCGCAAAGGCCUUAUCGCGCCUUGAGUGGAAGAGAGCUAUGGAUGUGGAAAUGGAAGCUCUUAUGUCUCGCCAAACGUGGUCUUUGAUUGAUCUUCCACCCGGGAAAGAUGUCGUGAAGUGUCGAUGGGUAUACACUAUCAAGUACAACCCGGAUGGCUCGGUUGAGCGUCUUAAAGCCCGACUUGUUGCUAAAGGUUUUACUCAAAUCUAUGGGGUGGAUUAUUUUGAGACAUUUUCCCCCGUGGCACGUCUUAAUUCUGUUCGUGUUAUUAUUUCCCUUGCUGUGAAUUUUGAUUGGCCAUUAUAUCAAUUGGAUGUGAAGAAUGAUUUUCUUUACGGUGAUUUGUCCGAGGAAGUAUAUAUGGAGCAACCUCCAGGAUAUGUUGCUCAGGG